UAACCGAACCGGGUAACCGCGGGCGCUGACCGAAGGGGCAGCGCCUGAGGAAAGUCCGAGCUCCAUAGGGCAGGGUGCUGGAUAACGUCCAGUGAGGGUGACCUUAAGGAAAGUGCCACAGAAAAGGAAACGCCGACUGGCCGCCGAUAGGAUGGUCCAGGGCAAAGCUGAAAAGGUGCGGUAAGAGCGCACCAGCGGUUGAGUGAUCAACCGGCGUGGUAAACCCCACCCGGAGCAAGACCGAAUAGGAGGGUGCGUAUUAAGUACGCGGGGACGGCCCGUCCUUCCCUCGGGUACGGUCGCAAGAGGCGAUAGGUAACUGUCGUCCCAGAUAAAUGGUUACCGCUGACUUUGGUCAGUACAGAACUCGGCUUAUAGGUUCGGUUAGAGA
rnacentral:RNase_P_RNA from 1 species